CAAAAUUUUCUCUCUUCUUGACAAGUUUUAAACAUGCACCAAAACCCCUGUAGAAUUAAGCCACGCACGCCACUUUCCCCUUCAUCUUUUAUUUUCUUGCCUUUUCCCCUUUCUCUUCGAUUCUCACUUCUCCUCUGCACAGCCUUACACACACGAGAAUUUGAGAGAGAAAGGAAGAGAAGAGGCCGAGAGAGAGAGAGAGAGAGAGAGAGAGAGAGAGAGAGAGAGAGAGAGAGAGAGAGACUGGGAGACCGAGAGAGGGAGAUCGGAGAGGUUUGAUUUUUGGAGUGGGUCAUCAGUGGGUCGGAGCUGGCGAUGCCGGUGGAGCCAAUGAGCAUUUUCCGACGUUUUUCUCGGUACCCAAACGGAAAAAGGCAAAGAAAUUUAAGAGUCUGCUCAGAAAAUCCAGGUAAGGGAACACAACCUUAAAAACCUCGGCAAAUUUUUAAAUAAAAUCUUUUCAAAAGAAAAAUGUCGAGAAUUUUCGAAAGACUCAUUCACUUUAAUAUUAUUUGUUCUAUUAUCUCAACUAUGAAAAAUAAUGAAUAUGUUACCUGUGAAUCACAUGGAUGAAUGAAGCUGAUGAUUAUAUGUUAUGUGUGCACCAUAUGAAUGAAGAGCAUGAUGUAAUUAUGAUUUUCAAAUAUGUAUAUGAUAUAUGUGCACCAUGAGAAUGAGGAUGAUGAUGACUCUCAAAAUAUAUGAGUUACAUGUGCACUAUAUGAACAAGAUGAUGGAAUUAUGUUGAAUAUUUGUUUUAUGUGCAUCACGCAAAGUUUUGUCCCACGGUACCAUAAUGUUGUGAUCCGGAUCUUAUGAUGAUGAUGACGAUGGGUAGCGGGGCAACCACACCAAAAGUGUGGGGCUAUCGGCCGGGGGGUUCUCACCUAGGGACCUUCUUAACUCGACAGCUCUCCCCUGUGACGACUGGAUGAGUCUAUGGGUCCUUCGGGAUUGGUCUUAUGGACGAGCCAAACAUGCAUCGCUCAUGGUAAAAAUGCGGAAGUGGGCCAGUGGUAGACAAAACUUACACAUUAUGAAUGAUGAUUACAUAUGCACAUUUCUUAUU